rnacentral:rRNA from 1 species
GGAUGCGAUCAUACCAGCACUAAAGCACCAGAUCUCAUCAGAACUCCGAAGUUAAGCGUGCUUGGGCGAGAGUAGUACUUGGAUGGGUGAUCUCCUGGGAAGUCCUCGUGUUGCAUUCC